UUUCCCUUAAACAGUAUUAACAUGAGUGAGACGAUCCCCGUUUGCUGUGUUCAUGGAGAUGAGGAGCCUUAUCCAACAGGAGACCUAUACACCAAGGCACACAGUCCAAGUAACUAGGGCUCAAGCUAUGAAGCCAGCAGAUCCCCCUCAGACCCUUACUUCUCUGCCAUUUUGAGGCAGAAUUAGGGACAGCACCUGGGAAGUUGCACAAUUCCCACGUCCAGAAAAGGUGAGAGAAAUUUCAUUUUCAUUCAAACUACCUCCCGUCUUUGAGCCUGAAAUAUCUUUGGACUUUAAAGUCCCAGGUAAUAUCACUGAACUGCAACGUGAUGAUCUAGUAUUGGCACCUCUUUUACAGAAAGCCAAAAAGUAGGAGCAAGAACUAAUUUUAUGCCAACUUUAUUAAAGUCAAGG
ensembl:lncRNA